AGCGAGUGGCGAACGGGUGAGUAACGCGUGAGGAACCUGCCUCAAAGAGGGGGACAACAGUUGGAAACGACUGCUAAUACCGCAUAAGCCCACGACCCGGCAUCGGGUAGAGGGAAAAGGAGCAAUCCGCUUUGAGAUGGCCUCGCGUCCGAUUAGCUAGUUGGUGAGGUAACGGCCCACCAAGGCGACGAUCGGUAGCCGGACUGAGAGGUUGAACGGCCACAUUGGGACUGAGACACGGCCCAGACUCCUACGGAAGGCAGCAGUGGGGAAUAUUGCACAAUGGGGGAAACCCUGAUGCAGCGACGCCGCGUGGAGGAAGAAGGUCUUCGGAUUGUAAACUCCUGUUGUUGAGGAAGAUAAUGACGGUACUCAACAAGGAAGUGACGGCUAACUACGUGCCAGCAGCCGCGGUAAAACGUAGGUCACAAGCGUUGUCCGGAAUUACUGGGUGUAAAGGGAGCGCAGGCGGGAAGGCAAAUUGGAAGUGAAAUCCAUGGGCUCAACCCAUGAACUGCUUUCAAAACUGUUUUUCUUGAGUAGUGCAGAGGUAGGCGGAAUUCCCGGUGUAGCGGUGGAAUGCGUAGAUAUCGGGAGGAAC
rnacentral:rRNA from 1 species